UGGACAGGAGAUGGUGAAGAUGUUGCUGAGCCAUCAAAAAUUUAAAAUGCUUCUGGAACAAUCUCUCUCCACGCGUGAUCUGGAAGAUAUUCUGACAAGAAUUAAGAAGAAAGGGAUGGAAAACCAGAAGGGUGAAUGCCCAUCUGUCAAGGAGCCGGUGGAGAAGAGGAACGAUGGCUCCAAGAAGCCCCAGGCCACAUUGCCUUCUAGCAAACGGUACUGAGCACUUUUGUCAGAUGUGACAAAGCCCAUGGCAAGCUUCACAUGCCUCUUCCUCAGGCAAAUCUUUCUGGCAGAGAUGACCAGUGCCAGAGAUUGUUUCCUUUCCCUACAAAUGCUCUAGGAUAAAAAAUGUCUACUUCUGCAUUACGCUGAACACAACUUCUCUGGAG